UUUUUUAAUAACGAUCCGCGGCCGUCAACUCUCGAAUACCCUAAUUCCUUCGAUCUCUCUCUAUAUAUUGCUGAUAAUCUUAAACCCUAAUAUCAUCAUCACAAUCGAAACCCCUCAUUAGGGUUUUGAUCUCCCCAUCGCAUUUCGUCCUUGUUCUUUUCAAUCCUCAUUCACUUGGUUUUUCUUCUGUUCGUUGAACUUUAUUAGUGUUUGCAUGUUGUGUUUUUAAACUAUUCUACUAUCGUGUGCCUAUGAUGGUGUUAAAUAUACUUUGAGAUUUAUUUCUAUGAAACCAAUUUUCAUCUGAGGCACAUGCUUAUUUUCAAUUAUUUCAUAUGUGAAUUUCAAUUUUUUUAUUCUGGUUUUACUUUUUAAUUAGGUUAUCAUAUUGAUCGGUUCUGGAGUUGAAUCCCCUGAUUCUAAUCUCACGAAUGAUAGUGUUUAGUUUUUUCUGCCAUUUUGAACUUGUUUUUUCUUUGUUAAGCUACAUAAUUAAAGGUUGGAUCUGGUAUAAGAAAUUUGUUAUAUGCAGAUGAUGAAAAAAAGACAGGGACAUCAGCACUCCAAUGGAGAAUGUUGACUUAGUCUAAUGGGAAUCUCUCUGAUGCGUUUUAACGAAAUACCCUCUUUGUUUCUCAUCGUUUUUUAUUUAUUUGAACAAUGGGAUUUUUUAAUUAUUGAUAUUGUUUUGUCACUUCAAAUUAUUAUCUUUGCGACGUCGAAAAUUUGUUCUUUAACUGGUCUUUGUGUUCAUCUUGAUUAUACAUAUGCAAAUGACGAUAAAAUAGACAGGGACAUCAGUACUCCUAAUUAGAGGAUGACGAUUUGUCGAUGGGAAUCUCUCUGAUGCAUAAAACACAUUGAUAUAUCAGGAGUAUGAAUGUUACGUUAUAUUCGUUUUCCUCCUCACUUUUGAUGUAUUGUGUAAUCUAAAACUGAUAUAUAGGUACUCUUAACAACGUUUUAUUGUUAUUGUGGUUCCAAAUUUGAAUUAUAAUAUGGUAUUUUCACUUGACUGGGUUAUAUGUUUUAUGCAGAUAUUUUUUAAUGAGUUGGCCAAUGAUGUACUCAUUGCACGUAUUACCAGAUAUUUUAUUUGAUGAUAAUCUCAAAAUUGUCACUACCUCUGAGGCCAUUUCAUACUGUGAAUAUAAUUUCUCAUGCAUAUAAAAAAUCCAUGUUUUAUAAGAAUCAUGUUCAUUGUUUGUUUUAAUUUUGUUGUGAUUUUACUACUCUCAUUUGGAUUGUUAUCAUAAUAACAGUAUUACGAGCCUAAUGAUUGUCAUAAAGAACGGAGAUUUGAAUAUUGCUUUUGUUGAAGCAUUUGAUAAUCUUUGCUCCAAAAGCAACUGAUGUAAAAAAGCGUUCUAUUGUGGUAUUAAUGAAGGCUGGGUUAAUGUUGGUUUGGCUAUAUAGAAAAAGUUUUUGGAUUUGCUGAUAAAAUAUAUCAAAUGCGGCCGGUUUCUCUCUUUAUUCUUGGUUGGAAGAAGCUUCAGUCUACAGAUUAUUGAUUCUACAAAUAUACGUUAGGAUUGGAUGUGGAAUUCAAGGAGCUUGAAGUUCAAGUUGCAUGGUGUUGUAUGGCAUUUGGAUUUUGUAUUGCAUUUGAUCAAUAUAUUUCAAGAUUCUUAUUCUGUUCUAAAUUUGUCGAAUUGAAUUUUAGUUUGGAGCCUCGCUCUUAGGCGGGGCUUGCGCAAUAUUAAAUUGGAAAGGGUAGUCCCUGUUAAAAAGGGUACUGUAUGUUUGUAGUCCCUUUUGAAAAAUAAAAUUCAUUGAGAAUAUUUUUAUCAGUUGGUAUCAAUACUUUUAUUGGUUUAUUUCA